UCUCCGUAGGUGAACCUGCGGAGGGAUCAUUAAGAAUUGAACAGCAGUGUCUGGCACUGUUGCCCAUUCUAACCCUUUGUGAACUACAACUCUGUUGCUUCGGGGGCGACCCUGCCUUCGUGCGAGGCGCCCCCGGAGGCUCAUCAAACACUGCAUCAUUGCGUCGGAGUCUUAAAGAAAUUUAAACAAAACUUUCAACAACGGAUCUCUUGGUUCCAGCAUCGAUGAAGAACGCAGC
rnacentral:misc_RNA from 1 species